rnacentral:rRNA from 1 species
UCGAGAAUCUUCGGCAAUGGGCGAAAGCCUGACCGAGCGACGCCGCGUGGAGGACGAAGGCCUUCGGGUUGUAAACUCCUGUCGGGGGGGAACAAGGGAGCGCGAAGAGCGAUCCUUGAGUGAUCCCCGGAGGAAGCACGGGCUAAGUUCGUGCCAGCAGCCGCGGUAAGACGAACCGUGCGAACGUUAUUCGGAAUCACUGGGCUUAAAGCGCGUGUAGGCGGACCGGCACGUCUGGUGCUGAAAUCCCCCGGCUCAACCGGGGAAGUGGCACGGAUACGACCGGUCUGGAGGGGGGUAGGGGGCGCCGGAACUUCCGGUGGAGCGGUGAAAUGCGUUGAGAUCGGAAGGAACGCCCGUGGCGAAAGCGGGCGCCUGGACCCCACCUGACGCUGAGACGCGAAAGCCAGGGGAGCGAACGGGAUUAGAUACCCCCGUAGUCC